rnacentral:lncRNA from 1 species
GGCACAGAGACACAACAGAAGCCUGGCAGAGCGUGUCAGCAUUGUUCAGCUCUCUGCAGGAAAAUGAGUUGCCCUAAGAUCUGUUCUGUUGUAGGUAUUGUGACUGCGCUCUGUAUGACUGGUUUGAUUCUAGCAGAUCCAGCAGAACGGACGCCUCGUCAGACAGCAGCCAGGGAACACGGGGGCGCUGUUCUUUUUUCCGUGGCCUACCAAGGACAGCUGAGAGAUGUCCUGUUCAACCCAAUCAUCUUCGACCAUGUGUUGGUGAACCAGGGCUCCGCCUACAACAAUGACACAGGUGUGUUUAUUGCACCCGUCCCUGGCAUCUAUCAGUUUGUGUUUGCAGCCCAGCUCUGCCGCGGAAACCACAACAACAUCUGGAACUUCAUGGUCAACGGGGACCACAGGAUGGCCUGCCAUGCUCAGAUGCCUGAUGGUGACACAGUCCUCAACACAUGUUACUUUAUGGGGGAGCUGCAGCAAGGUGACCAGGUGUGGGUAAAACAACAAGCCGAGAGUUGUGCCUGGGCCAGCACCACCUCCAACACCAUCACUUUCUCUGGCAUGCUGCUGGCAAGUGAAGGCAUGUCCACACUGGGAGGGAUGUAUAGCUCUGGUACUUCCGGUUCAAUUUCCAGUCUGGGUCAGAAAAGGACCAUGGUGUCUGGCUGUGACGGCCUGAGUGCGUCUUUGUUGACUGUGGUCAUUGCUCUGCUGCUAUGCUGUAUUCUCCUCCUUAAUUAAGUUUGGAAUAUUUAUAUUUCGUUAUUAUGUACGAGUGUAUGUAAUGAAUACCUCAUUACAUCACCAACAGUGUUAUGUAUGAACAUAUACACAGGGACAUUUCUAAGUAUUUAAUAAUAAAGGGAUCAAUAAAUGAUGUCAUUAUUAUUAUUUAAAACAAUUUGUACAUGCACAUUUGUACAUUUAGCAGUGCACCAUACAUGCACCGCUUCUGCUCGGUUAAAAGAAACCUUUCAGAAAUAGAGAUCCCCUUCAUAUUAACUUCAUAAACACUUCAGCUGCAGGAAGGAGGCACGAGCCUCAAACUAGCACUAAAACCACAGUGAUUUCACCCUCUGGAACAGUGUUAGCAGCAGUGUUAGACAUAGGGACAGCACAAUGUUUGUGCAUAAAUAAAUAAAAUAUUUUAUUGAAGGACACAAUUUUAACUGACUAGCUCAUACUUACCAUGUAAUUAUUCUGUGCUUAGGCUACUUGCAUAAAUUUGUCUCAUAAUAAAGUGUGACUUAAAUCAAC